GGAUGGCCAAGGCUGAGGAUGCAGACAGGAAGGACAACAAAGGAGUUUGGCAUUCCUCAAAACACCAAGAAAAUAUCUACUAGACUGUAUCUGCAGGAGUUUUCCUUCAGUUCUUAGGACAGAUGAUGGAGCUGCUAUUCUCAUAUCGAGGAGAAGCUCGCCUGUCGCUAAUGAAGAACAGCUUGAGCAGAGCCUUCAAUCUGUGACGCUGACAACCAAGCCAAAGACCCCAAGAGUUGCCAGCUCUGCUGUUGUGUCCUGUCGGCGAAGAAACACUGCACAUCUCUCAUCUGAUGGGUGCGCACGGCUGUGUGCUACUCAGGAGCCUCUCCAGAGCGGCCGUCUAGUCACACCCAGAAAGUCUUGGUGCUAUUUUCAGCGCCUGCCAGGAGAGAAUACUCAAGGCAUCCUGCCACGACAGCGCAGAGCGACGUUUGAUGGUGAUGGAAAUGGGCUACAGAUGCAUCCGUCUUAAUCCGAACACUGAGAGCUUAUUUUCACCCUGUCAUUAAUCCAUUUUGUAGAGGAGGCUUGUCACUGGACAUUUACAUUGAUGCAUGUUUAAUCCGUCCACAAUAUUGCUCUGCAUAAUCAUUGAUACAUAUUUAUAUCUUGGGUUACAUUACUUUAACCCACAUGUCCAGAUGGACAAUGACAGGGAAGGGAAAUACCCACAGAGAGGGUCAAAGAGUCAUUGCAUUUUAAUAUAAAUCGUGGACUCAAGGCUCUACUUGCAAACCGAGACAAGAUACAGCAUCAUAUUCAAAUAAUUAAUAAUCAAAUUAAAAUAAGAUUUAUUGGCAGGAAUGUUUAAAGAUUUGAUAUGUAAGAACUGUAGUUGAAAACGUUUUUAAAAAAUGG